UGGGGUGUAGCUCAGUUGGUAGAGUGCUUGUCUUAGAAACUUAUAUAAGACUCUGGGUUCAAUCCCUAGCACCAAAA
rnacentral:tRNA from 1 species